rnacentral:ncRNA from 2 species
AAAAAAUGUGGAAACGGUGAAAAAUUCUCUCUAUAUGGGCACUUUGAGAAUUUGGAGUUAAUAGUGCAACCGACCAAUUUAAGC